rnacentral:lncRNA from 1 species
UCACAUCUCAUCCAAGCCAUGUGACUGGACGAACCUUGUUCCGGUUUCUUGAUUGUUCCGUCAACGAAACCGAUCUUAUUCUUUGCGAAUAAGAAAUUUUGCAUCUCUUGAGACCAAUCAGUGUAGUUUCCAUCGGUUAGAACAUCGUUCACGUGCAUCUGUCUUGGAUAGUCUGAAGGAUGGAGAUAAUAAGGAGAAUCAUGAUCCGAGACUCCUUCGUUCUUCUUCUCUGUUUUACCUUCAUCACCUGCCAUGGCAAUAUUGGGUUUUUUCUUCUUUGUUUUUGAUCAGAGAGUCCUUAGAACCGCCCUGAUACCAUGACAAUUGUUAUGCAUUUGGUGUAUUGAAAGAGGAGUUAUUGGUGUUACAGAAAUCAUCGAAUCAGCUGGUACUUGAAGAGUUCAUACCACUUAAUCAAGUGUAUGCAACAUUGCAAGUGUGCAACCAUUCGUUUAUGAAUAUUGAAUUGGUAUGUUUGAUUUGGUUAUAGAUAGCCAGAGAACAACGAAAUGCGAAUAGUAAGAAGAGUGUGCCGUUGAAGAUCCGGCUGAAUUGGUUGAGCUCUACUCAACUAUAGAACCCGAAUCAAAACCAUGUUUUGAAACAGAAUUCAGUGGAUCAAGCAAUUCAAAAGGUAUAAAUAAUAAAUUUAAUCAAGUGUAUGCAACACUGCAAGUGUGCGACCAUUCGUUUAUGAAUAUUGAAUUGGUAUGUUUGAUUUGGU